UCCGGGCUCGACCUCCCACCCUUCUGUCGUCCGACCGCGUUGCUUCGGGGCCGCCUGCGGGCGCCCCGGAGGGCCGUCAACUCUGCAUCACUGCGUCUGAGUACAUUUUCAAUAACAUGAAAACUUUCAACAACGGAUCUCUUGGUUCUGGCAUCGAUGAAGAACGCAGCGAAAUGCGAUAAGUAAUGUGAAUUGCAGAAUUCAGUGAAUCAUCGAAUCUUUGAACGCACAUUGCGCCCUCUGGUAUUCCGGGGGGCAUGCCUGUUCGAGCGUCAUUGNCACCAAUCCAGCCCGGCUGGGUGUUGGGCGCCGCGGCUUCUGGCCGCCCGCCCCAAUGUCGCCGGCCACGCCGUCCGUCCCCUCGCGUUGUGGCAUCUGUCUCGCGUCGGUGGCCGGUCGGAGUGCGCCGUCCAACCUCUUUUUUCAGGU
rnacentral:rRNA from 1 species